CGAUUAUGAACGCCUUGACGUAGACGUCAUCGAGAAUCGAUUUCUCUGUCAACGAUUCUGUUAGGAUCGAUCCCCCUUCCAACCAGGCCCCGGCAAGAAGACUGCCCCGUCCGCUCUGCUGUGACCUCAGCUGCCUGCCGCAAAAGAGAACUGUGGAAGAAUGGACAAGGUUUUCGAUGCCUCCUGGGGUCUGUCCAACGCUGAGCUCCUCCAGCAGAUGGGGUUGCUGAGCUGGUUGUCCGGCAAGGAGACCACAAGUGACGCAUACCAAGCAAUCACAGCCGGCAGGGUCGCGUACGAGCUGUACAACCGCGUGACGGGCAAGGCUGAGAUCGACAAAUACAAGGCUGAGUGCCUGCAGGGCAUCGUGAAUUUCAUCCGGGACAACCCAGGAGCCACGAAAACUGCCAUCGACCAGGCCGUUCUGCUCCACGUUCAGAUAUUUGCUGCUCGGGUGGAUGCGAUGUAGGACUGAAGUGUGACUAGGUAAACACCUGUUUGGUGGACAUCUUUAGAAUGAACCCCUUGUUGGACACCUUGAAGAAUCAACAUUUUUUGUUAACUUUGCCAUGCAGCCUUUUUCAUAACAUUUUAAAUGUUUUAUCUAUGAGGCAUCUAAAUACACUCGUAUUUCUAUGCAUCAUAUUGGAGUGGGCAACAACACCGUGGACUGGAGUGCAACAAGUGUGGGGGAGCCAACACGUGCACAUGGGUUCUUAAGUUACGCAAAGUCACAAGCAUAUUACAAUAAAUAAAUUGGAGUUUUAUGCCAUGCAAUGGAUCGCAUCGCGCGGAUUAUCACAUUUCAACAAUGAACACGUAUGUAUUGCCAUUGAUAAGACAAUAGGUUUUUCCCCUUUUUUCUGGCAACAAAACAGGUGUUAAGAUGUUAAAACACCAAACUGAAACCUUUUACAAGGAAUCAUGUCUGCAUUAACCACAAUGCUUGUGGUCAGAAUGCAAACAAAACAUACUCUAAUAAUAUGAUAUUGCCAUUGAAUUGUGACUUCAUAUGUACGUCAAUAAUACAAACAACAUUUAAGAAUUUGCUUUGAAAUGUAUCCACAAUGCUGGGUUAGCUUCCUUUUCCUUUGUUAUUUGGCAGCGAUUCGGCAUCAAGACGUUGGGUCUCAGUGGGCCGUCGCCUGGUGGAUGCAGCAGCGCCACCCAAGGUGGGCGGCAGCCUACUCCGUCGAAUCUCGAAGCCUGAUGUUUCUGUACUUCAGGGAGGACUUGAGGGUGUCCUUGAACUGCUUCCUUUGUCCUCCCCUCGUCCGCUGCCCAUUAGAGAGCUGGGAGAAAAGGAUCUGGUGGGGAAGGCAGUUCUCAGGUACGCGGAAGCAGUGGCCAGUCCAUCAGAGUUGUUUUUUUAGAAGUAUUGCUUCAAUGCUGGUGGUGUCAGCAUGGAGGACACUUGCACUUGAUCCCCUGGAUUUGAUGGAGGCAGUGCUGUUGGAAGCGCUCAAGCGCAAUGACAUGGCACCAAUACAUAGACAACCUACCGGCAAGACUUAAAAUCCUAGCAUACCAUCUUUAAAACUAUCACAUCUACACAAACACCGAGUACACACAACAUGUAGCUUCAGAUAAUUUAUUUCGGUGCAAGAAAAACAGCCACAUGGUAGACUAUGUUGGCACAAACAAAACUUUCCGUUAACGCUUAUCAGAAUAUUUAUUUAUACAGCAGGAAUCCGAUGAGCUGUAAACCUCUUUUUCACAGAUGUCCAGUCGGGGCAGGUGAGAAUAAUACAACACGUAACACAAAAACUUGACAGUGAAAAGUAUAGCAAAUAUAUACAAAUAAUACUAAACUAUUUUUUGUCCUACCAGGUAAAGCCUACUGAGCUAUGAGCCUCUCAUUCAGAAGCAACCUGGCAACAAAUGAUAGCUUAAUAAACUGGUUUAUCUUAUAGAAAUUUAUUACAGCAAAAUAAUCUAAAUAAUCUAAACAAAUGUUUGUAAAAGUUAUCCCAUCAUAUCAGAUGUUUAUUAAUGUCCUUCCUUCUGAGAAACCUAGACCAUUAUCGCUCACUAGGUGGGUUAGGAUUGAAAACUAACUACAGGCAGUCCCCGGAUUAUAGGGAUGAAACUACAGUAAUUAAAGAAAACAGUACGGGAGGCACAACUAUUUCCGGCUAUGGGAUUUUAUCUAGAUUUGGGGGAAAUUGUUGAGUUUCCGACAUACGGAAAAUUCAGGUUGCGGAUCUUCCUCGGGAACCUAACGCUUCCGUAACCCGGGGAUUGCCUGUAAGGAGGGAGCAUCUGAUAUCAGUCUAAAUCUCUAAGUCUCCAAUGUGUCUGCUAAGGUGCGCGUGUGUGUAUGCAGUGUGUCUCCGGCUCGUCUUCUUUCUUCCUUGAGUGUCCUUCUUUGUGUAGUCCGAGCACUUGGGAGCUCUCUUUGUGUCCUUGAUGCCACCCAGUUUGAAGACUGAGAGUCCUCGAUGUCCACUGGGAUGGCAUUCUACUCUGGUGACCUACACAUAGCACACAUCAUCACCACCACAAUUAUUCCACUGGCCAACAGGACACCACAGAAAACUGCCUGUCAUUGAAACUACCUAGAGAAAUGAAUUGCACCGAAAAUGGCUGAUAACUCACGUGGUAACCACCUUCAAAAUAUAAUUGUGGGCCGAGUAAGAGUGCGUACAACACUGUCAGACAACACUGUUUGACUUAGGGUAAAUUCUCCAGUUUGAGGUUUUAUGGUUUGUGAAAAUACAUCAUGAGUACAACUUACCGCAUAUAGAAGAGGAUGUAGGCCUGGUCUUGAAGCACUUCUGACUUGGCGACUGGCUCCACGUCAGCAUCGUCCAUUCUGAACCAGCUGCCAUUGCUGACCUGAAGGAAAAAAUACAUGUACACUUAAUUACGAUCAUUACCCAAUUGCACCUGACUCAUUUAAAAGCCAGCCAUAGUGACAGAUCAUGAAAGUGGAAUAUUAUAUGGAAGUUAACACGUGUACUCAUAUGCUUCGUGUGUGUGUGUAUGUAUUAUCAUAGUGGGAAACAGUAGCGUAGCGGUUAGCACAUUGCACUACGAACCCGGCAACCAGAGGUCAAUUCCCGCUUACGACGUAACACCAGUGACGAUUAUCUCAACUGGUCGUGGGCCUCGUUCCCUCGGUCCACUCAGCCUCAAAUAAACACAUGGUGCAAUAUGUAAAAAUUACCACUCAGGGGACAAAGGCGGCCGGGUGUAGUGCUGGCCACCCACCCCCGCGUGUGUCAUUCUGGCUUUGACAGGUGCUCAUGAACAGCACUUGCCCCAACAGUCGGGUAAGGCUAUAUGGGGGAUAUUUGUUUUUUUGUUUAUCAUGCAGAACAUCACCUUGUUGUACGAGUAGUAGUGGCCGCUAUUGGUGGUGGUCCCGUGGUGCACAAUCACCGAGUAGAGUGAAUAAAGUUGCGACUCUUGCACAACCUGACUGGACAUGAACGGCCGUAUGUCGAGUUUUUCAGGGAAGAGGAACUCCUACAAGGGAUGAGGGAGGAGACAGUGAUGGGCCAAGCAUUAAAAGAGAGGAAAAUAGGGAGCUGGCUAAGCAGGGGCAGAAGAGGGGAGCAAAUUAACGUAUUGGCGGUACACUGGUGCACCGUAUAUAUAAAAAACUAAAAUCACAAUUUUCACGAUGAUAUAUUUUCCAGCGAUUCGCAACCCAUUUCAGGAAAUUUUGUGGGGCUGCGUCAAAAUAAUUUAUCGUGAUCUCAAAGCAGUCGGAAGAUGAGUGUCGGUUCACAUUUUGAUGUUCUACUGUUUUAUGAGGACCGGUGUGUCAUGCUGCACCGGUGUACCGCCAAUACGUCCAAAUGACAAAAAACGUUGAAUACAAAAUAUAUCUGAAUAUCAGUUUGCAUUCUGUGCAGGAAGUAAAAUUCACCCUGUCGAUUUUGUGCCCAAACUCAUCGUAUCGCUUAAUGGUGACGAUAAGCACAUUGGGCACCACGUGCAGGCUCACUCUCUUUGUUGAUUUCCCCACGCGUGAGCACCUGUUCGCCAGACAAUAGCAACGUUAGUUUACGGACGAGGUGCGUGUUUGAUCACACACUGUAUAAAUGGGGAUAUACACGAACGUUUAAAGGUGCACGACGGAAGAUUGCAUACUCACAUUCCACAUCUGUACUCUGCAAGAUUCUCGGUCUUUGUGAAUUCAUAAAAAGCCUUCACCAGAUCCAGGGAUUUCUGUCAAAAGCCAAGAAAGCACAAUCAUGGAAAAUUAUUACUUUGAAUAGAAAUUCAGAAAAUAAUGAGCUAAGUGGCUCUCUGCAGUCAACUGGUUGUGGUACAUAAAUAUAAUGAAUGACAAAAAAAAUCGACAUCAGGCUGCAGCCUUCCCAAUUCUUACGUUGAUAUUAAGAGAGAUGUCAAGGCAAGAGUCCAACGUGUCUGAGAUGCUGAAGCACUGCAUGCACUCAACUGUGAAAACACAUAAUAUGAAAACAUACAAUAUUACUGCUGCACAUUGCAUAAUCAUAAUCAAAAGUAUUCACACGUUAACUGCCUAAUAUCAUGAAAAUGUUCAAAUACCACCAACCCAGAUGCGACUAUAAUUGUUAUUUUAAAACAUAUUUGGUGAAAGCUGCAAUGGCUACUAAAUACAUUUAUUGUUGAUACUGUGUUGGCAGUGGUGCCCUAACAUUCGUCAAUAGUACUGCCUUACAAGGAAAAAUAUGCAAUUGGUGACAUUUUCAGGAGUGAUCUUUAUUCAUAGCACAGAAGCCAGAAACAUAGGGUGGGCUACGAGUUGGAUACUGCACUGUACACCACGUGGCCUGAUGAGAAAUUACAUUUGGCGUACAGAAAGCUUUGAUUAACUCUUGCGUAAUAAACAUGUGAAAUCUA